CUCUGAGCACAGCACUAUCCGCAGCGCUUUGAGGGGAGCGCAGCUCGGAGCGGCCCUUCGGCGACUGGUUUCUACCCUAGGUAUGGACCUCUUUGCUCAUGUAAUGGGAUGAAGUAAGGAAGAGAUGUGGAAAGCCAAGCAAGCUUGCACCCUGCACUUAUGUCUGUAUAGGAAGAGAUGGAAUAUUUUAUUUGCCUUUUAUAUGUACAUACAUAUGUGUUGUGUGUUUGGGUUACUUUCCUUGGGCGUGUUUCCUGGGAAGCACUGGAGAGGAUGAGCUCCCAGAAGCUGAGAGGUGCUAGGCUCCCAGAGAACUCAGUGACUAUUACCUGAGGGCCUGGGAUCUGACACCAGCCCAGGACACCCAAUAAUGAGCCAAGGUUGUUGCAGCCAGUCCUGAACUUGGGGUGACGUCCCUACGGGGAUCACAGUGAUGAGCCCAGCUGUAACCGGCCUUUGGAACAGCCGGGACAUAUGCCCUUGAGAGCAGAAACCCAGGAAUCUGCAGAGCAGUUUUCAAAGCCACAGCCUUUCCAGGCCUUAAAACUACAAAUUAU
rnacentral:lncRNA from 1 species